rnacentral:rRNA from 1 species
CCUACGGGUGGCAGCAGUGAGGAAUAGUGGUCAAUGGACGCAAGUCUGAACCAGCCAUGCCGCGUGCAGGAAGACGGCUCUAUGAGUUGUAAACUGCUUUUGUACGAGGGUAAACGCAGAUACGCGUAUCGGUCUGAAAGUAUCGUACGAAUAAGGAUCGGCUAAAGCCGUGCCAGCAGCCGCGGUAAUACGGAGGCUUCAAGCGUUAUCCGGAUUUAUUGGGUUUAAAGGGUGCGUAGGCGGUCGGAUAAGUUAGAGGUGAAAUCCCGAGGCUCCACUUCGGAAUUGACUCUGAUACUGUUCGGCUAGAGCGUAGUUGCGGUAUGCGGAAUGUUUGGUGUAGCGGU